rnacentral:rRNA from 1 species
CCUACGGGUGGCAGCAGUGGGGAAUAUUGGACAAUGGACGAAAGCCUGAUCCAGCCAUGCCGCGUGUGUGAAGAAGGCCUUCGGGUUGUAAAGCACUUUCAGUGGGGAAGAAAGCCUUGGGGCUAAUACCCUCGAGGAAGGACAUCACCCACAGAAGAAGCACCGGCUAACUCCGUGCCAGCAGCCGCGGUAAUACGGAGGGUGCGAGCGUUAAUCGGAAUUACUGGGCGUAAAGCGCGCGUAGGCGGUCUGAUAAGCCGGUUGUGAAAGCCCCGGGCUCAACCUGGGAACGGCAUCCGGAACUGUCAGGCUAGAGUGCAGGAGAGGAAGGUAGAAUUCCCGGUGUAGCGGUGAAAUGCGUAGAGAUCGGGAGGAAUACCAGUGGCGAAGGCGGCCUUCUGGACUGACACUGACGCUGAGGUGCGAAAGCGUGGGUAGCAAACAGGAUUAGAUACCCUAGUAGUC